CUAACCACAGACACAGGAAAACAAAAGUAUGAGAACCUCCUAUUUAAUGCAUUAUUCAGUCCAAACUCCACACGCGAUUAAAACGGACGGGUUGCACAUGAAAUAGCGUGUUUGAUUCCAGCGAGAUGGAGUUUACACUGGUUUCAUGAGUAAAUGCAUCAGUCUUCUGAUCGGUUGAUAGGGAACAAUCUCCCAGCAACACAGAUUUACAGCCUCAGGAUUUGUCCUCCACCUGCAGCCUACCCAAUGUCUUUGAUCCGUCAAGGAACGGUGAAGAAUGUCUGUUGAAAGCGAACCCCUUAGAUGCCUUUCAUGUUGUCCAGACACCAGGCUGGUUUGUCAGUCCUGGGGCCAGCAAUGGGGUGUUAUUUCUGGAGAAUGACUCUGAUCCGUUGCCACUUACCACAGACCAGAUCCACCCAGACAAUGCGUUUUCCAACACAACUGUCACCCUCUCUUACGUGAGCAGGUCGCAUGUAUUCUCUUACCAUAACACCCUACCAGAACAUCCCCCAACUUACAGUGUUCCAUCCAUAAGCAAGGCUUUUGCUCUGCACCCUGCAGCCUAUGAUGCUAGCAAGCUGGCAACCGACACGGGAGAUGACACAGCUCUCUCGGUGGAUAUGGACCAACACUGCCUCCAGCAGGUGUCAGUUCCCAUAGGACUAGCGGCCUGCAAUCAAUUUGGGUUUAUGUUACGCUGUGGGUUUACACACAAAUGGCAACACUGAGGUAGUCAUUCUGAUCUCCAGAUCUGAUAAGCCAAUUUUGUUCAAUAGUGUUCCUGAACGGUCAUAUGAUCGCAAGCCAACAAAGUCAUUAGACGUGUUGUUAAAUUCCACAAAGAAAGCCCUCAGCAGGGAUAGGAAACCUAAACUCAUUACCAAUAUGGAAAACCUCUAGAAAAGGCCACUCUACAAAGCUUCAGAGGCCAACUAUGGGUACGAAUAAUUCAAGUGCUACAAAGAAAUCUCAUGCCCCCAAAAGGAAAAGAAAGAAACACAAAGUUGGCCAUACUUCCUUGUUUUCACCCCAAGAACCAGAAAUCAAGCUCAAAUAUGUGAAAUACAAAGAAGAGAAAAGGGACAUGCGAGAUGAGACCUUUGCCCCUUAUGUUCGUGUGGAACUCAAGGACUACCCGACUUGUAUGGUUGUCAGCUAUCCCAAGGAGAGUUUCAAGCUCAAGCAGGGAAAGCAGCAGGCAUCCACAGGGUUCAUGUCUGGUGUGGUGCCUGCAACGCCUUGUUUGCAAUAUGGACGAGUCUCCAUGGAUGAUGCACAAUGGGGUAGACUAGUGUGGAGUCUACCCCCACAAUGGGGUAGGACCAUAGUGACUCAGAUUCCUCUAUUAGCGCUAAGAGUGGACAUUGUGUUGCUUCAACUCAUGGCACUUGGACUUGUAAAUCUUUGCACAAGCUAUCAGAGUUGGCAGAUUUGAUGGCCUGUCAAAGAUGGACCAGUGAUAGUGAGCAGUCUAGUAGUUCUACGGAUAAGAGACCCAGGAUGGAUGCUGCCACAGACUGGUACAGCCCUCCUGUGGUUCCUCUUGAUAGUAGUGAGUAUUGGGUCCACGAGGACUGCAGUAUAUGGUCAGCAGGUGUCUUUCUGAUCAGAGGAAAACUGUAUGGACUUGAAAAUGCGAUCAUUUUGGCAAAAGAGUCGUUUUGUUCAACUUGUCAGAGAAGGGGGGCUAUGUUGGGCUGUGUUUUCAAAGGCUGCUCAAACAAGUACCACUACAUAUGUGCUGUGCAGUCAGGUAAGAGUCACAAACAGAUGUUGCUUGAUUAUGAUUGUGUUUAUUGUGCAAAACAAUACUGUAGGAGCUUAUCCCCACAUUGCAUAAAGGUCCUGACAAUGUGUUUUGAUGCCAGACAUUCUGUUAACAGCUGCUUUUGCGUCUGCAUUUGCUAAAACAAACAUGUUAAAACUUGUGCUCAGACACACAUGGAAACAUCCAUGUGCCAACAAGAGAGUGGAAAUAAAGUUGUGAA